AACCAACUUCCAUCAAAUAUUCAUUCCAUAACUUAUUCAAAUCUAACAAACCAAAAGUAUCACAUGCAUUCUUAAAUUUUAGGUAUAUGAUACUAUUUACCAUAUGAAUAUCUUCAUAACAUAUAGGCCUUUUUAUAAUGUUUAACAGUAUUCACAGAUAAAAUCUCUCAUUACUUGUAGGAUGUGCAUAAUAUAUUCUUUCAAUAUAUCUUCC
rnacentral:lncRNA from 1 species